rnacentral:lncRNA from 1 species
GUAAAAAAAAAAAAAAAAAAAAAAAAAAAAAAAAAAAAAAAAAAAAAAAAAAAAAAAAAAAAAAAAAAAAAAAAAAGUGACAGAAAUUCAUAAAAGUGACAUACACUCAAAAAAGUGACAAAAAUUAAAAAUAACAAAAUAACAAAACAUCAAUUAAAACAUUGAAAUUAGUUCAAUAAAUUGGCUGAAAUAAAAAAAUGACAACCACCGUCCCUCUUCUUUCUUCGUUAACCACCAAGCAUCGUUAAGUAAGUUUACCGGGAAAAUACCAAUCAAAACGUCAAGCAUUUUAAGUCAAUUCCCGCCACCGUCAUCUACUAACUCAGCUACCCCAUUAAUUAUAUAAAAAGUUUUUUGAAAGGGAUGUUCGUCACAUAAAAAGGUAACAAAAAUUUUAAAUAAGUAACAGAAAUUAUUUUUUAAAAAAAAGGGCCAAAAACUAUUCAAAAAAGUGACAAAAAUUCAAAAAAAAUAACGAACACUCAAAAAAGAUAAUUCACUAUGGUAACCAAAUCAACUCUAUAUUUGGAUGUCAAAAAUAUGAAUUUUGCAAUUCAUCCUUUAACAUUUUUGUCUUGCAUAUAUUUAAGCAAAUGACAGGUACCUAUCAUCUUUCUAUGCUGGCAUUGAGAAUUGGACUAAACAUGGCCAACAUCUUGCGCAAAACCUUAACCUAUCAUAGUUUGGUAACCAUGAAAAAUGCAUAGCCUUGUGAGCUCAAGUUAGGAGUCCAUAGCAAUAAGAAAAACUUGGAUCUUCAAUACUAAAACAUAACACCUGCAACUCCAACGCUAACUUGAGCAUUUUCAGCUCAACUCAUGAGUUUAUGGCAACAAAAAGCUACAUCAUCAAUUAAGAAAGCAAAGGGAGGAAAAUUCUACUAUCAACAGCAACUAAUGUAAUAAGCUAUUACACAUACUAAAUCACCGUGUGAAUUGAACUUCUAACUGUGGUAGGUGGUUUCCUAAAGUAUUGUAGUCAAGGUAGGAAGUAUCUUAUGGUCCUUACAAUGAUAAUAAGAAUACAGAGUUCUCAUAUUACAAUUUUCAUGAAAACAUCAAUUAUAGCCAUGCCAGUCGUGCCUUGUGGGAUAUACUUGUUAUCAGCUAGUGCAUUUGCAGGACACCAAAGAAUUCACUAAAAGCCACAUUCCAUGGUUAGUUACUAGCACCAAUUGCACCACCUGUGCUCUCAUUUGCAGAGCAAAUGAAAGCUCCAUAGAGUUGAUUGAUUUUUUAUUUUUUUUUACACGGUCAUAAGCCUUAAAAUAAGCCUAUCAUCUACAAUUAGAGAUACAAAACCAAACACAGGCAUCAAGUAUUAAUUACAAAAACAUUAUAUACAAUAGAUAGAUGCAGUAAAAAAGUAGUCCUUAACAAUUGAAAACCUGAAUGGACGAAGCAGCAAUUAGUGGACCAGCCACACACUGUCCAAAACCCAUUCAUAACAUCCAGACAAUAUUAUACUUAAUCCACCAAACAUACUUAUUGAUAAUUGUAUACCACCAAAGUCACACUCUCUCGUUGGAGUGUGUGUACAAGUUGAAAGAUCAUCUGCAAAAACUGAAGAAAUUCGCCGUGAAAAAUAGCAAAAAUCUUGAAUAUCGGUUUCACAAUGUGUCUAAAUUUGCUGCUCUUUCUAGCCAUGCUAGCCACCGAUAUUCUAUCCCUUUAUCAACUCCUCCACCAUCCAAUCCAUGCCACCGGCUCCUUUACCAAUUCCUAACCGUCGUAUCUAGUAGUUGUCAACCAUACGCGCCACUAUCAACCAUCUAAACAUCUCCAGCCCUCCUCCCCACCUAUCAAGAAUUAUGGGAUCGUGAAUUUGGAAGAAUUGGGGAUUUCUCUUUGAAAUCUAUUGGUUCGGGGCUUUGGAUGAAUUUGGGGGCGUAUUAUUUACGGUUAUUAGAGGUUUUAAUUUGGUUAAAGCGUAUUAAACUAAUUAGUUCAUUUUUAAAAGUAAUGGGCCUAAUUUCCUCUAAUGAAUAAUGCU